rnacentral:rRNA from 1 species
AGGACGAACGCUGGCGGCGUGCUUAACACAUGCAAGUCGAACGGAAAGGCCCGCUUGCGGGUACUCGAGUGGCGAACGGGUGAGUAACACGUGGGCAACCUGCCCUCAGCUCUGGGAUAACUCCGGGAAACCGGUGCUAAUACUGGAUAUCGACUUCUGCCUCGCAUGGGGUGUUGUUGAAAGUUUUUCGGCUGGGGAUGGGCCCGCGGCCUAUCAGCUUGUUGGUGGGGUGAUGGCCUACCAAGGCGACGACGGGUAGCCGGCCUGAGAGGGCGACCGGCCACACUGGGACUGAGACACGGCCCAGACUCCUACGGGAGGCAGCAGUGGGGAAUAUUGCGCAAUGGGCGGAAGCCUGACGCAGCGACGCCGCGUGAGGGAUGACGGCCUUCGGGUUGUAAACCUCUUCAGCUCUGACGAAGCGAGAGUGACGGUAGGAGCAGAAGAAGCACCGGCAACUACGUGCCAGCAGCCGC